rnacentral:rRNA from 1 species
CCUACGGGAGGCAGCAGUGAGGAAUAUUGGUCAAUGGGCGUAAGCCUGAACCAGCCAAGUCGCGUGAGGGAUGAAGGUUCUAUGGAUCGUAAACCUCUUUUAUAAGGGAAUAAAGUGUGGGACGUGUCCUAUUUUGUAUGUACCUUAUGAAUAAGGAUCGGCUAACGCCGUGCCAGCAGCCGCGGUAAUAAGGAGGAUCCGAGCGUUAUCCGGAUUUAUUGGGUUGAAAGGGUGCGUAGGCGGCCUUUUAAGUCAGCGGUGAAAGUCUGUGGCUCAACCAUAGAAUUGCCGUUGAAACGGGUGGGCGUGAGUAUGUUUGAGGCAGGCGGAAGGGGUGGUGUAGCGG